AUUGAACGCUGGCGGCAGGCCUAACACAUGCAAGUCGAGCGAGCGGCGGACGGGUGCGUCAUGUCUGGGAAACUGCCUGAUGGAGGGGGAUAACUACUGGAACCGGUAGCUAAUACCGCAUACCAUCAGAUGUGCCCAGAUGGGAUUAGCUAGUAGGUGGGGUAAUGGCUCACCUAGGCGACGAUCCCUAGCUGGUCUGAGAGGAUGACCAGCCACACUGGAACUGAGACACGGUUCAGCCUCCUAGGGGAGGCAGCAGUGGGGAAUAUGGCACAAUGGGCGCAAGCCUGAUGCAGCCAGGCCGCGUGUAUGAAGAAGGCCUUCGGGUUGUAAAGUACUUUCAGCGAGGAGGCGUUACUCGCAGAAGAAGCACCGGCUAACUCCGUGCCAGCAGCCGCGGUAAUAC
rnacentral:rRNA from 1 species